CAGUAGAAGCAAAAUAUCCUGUUGGGACUCCUUCCACAUAUGUUGUGUCUAAGCAAGUGCUGCCAAGGCUAUGUCAUCUGUUUUGGGAUGCAGAGGGAAUUUUGAUGAUUGACUACCUGCAGAGAUGGAUGCUGGCGCUGGAACCUCAAGCUCGGGUUUGUCCCAGUCUGAGAUUGAUGUGUGAUGGAGGAGGAAGUGGCUCCCUCGGAGUCUGAUGAUGGACCUUCCACUUCUGUGCAUCAGCUUCCUGCCCCUUCCUGUCCUGACCCCUCUCCCAGCCCUUCCCGUCCUGACCCCUCUCCCGGGCAUUUCCGUCCUGACCCCUCUCCCGCCCCUUCC